UUAUUAGGUUUUAGAUACUGAAAAGAAGUCAUAUAAAUAAAAUAGACAUUUAAAAGAUGGACCCAAUGUAUAUAAUUCGUGAAACAGUAUAUUUAGUUUUGCUUAUGUUUAGAGUUCAUUUAGACAAUACUAUACUCUGCGUAUUACUGCGGUCCCCAACGCCUGGGCACAGACUGGUACUGGUCUGUGGCUUGUUAGGAACCGGACCGCAUACAAGCAGGAGCAUAGAUGAAGAAUGCUUAAGCCUAUAUGCCUGUUCAAGACUGGUGAUUUGGAGUAGUUUACAAGAGUCUUCAUUCAAAGCGCCCUCUUAUGUCAUUGGAAUGAUGUGCAGCUUCUUUAAUGGAUGGCCAGAGGGCUGGGAUCUAGAGUACAAGUGUGCAAGGGAUUGGUCUUCCCUGAGAUGGUCUGGCCAUUGGAACAGGAGAGCAGCAUAUAUGGCAGAGAUGCUGGCUGGUGGGUUGCAGAAGUCUAUUCUGAUUGAUUUAGUUUUCUCAAUAAAAUAGGAAGCAAGGUUAGGCUGAGUGAGGAUGGGUGAAAAGGUAUAGGAGGUUUGAGGAGAGAAAACUGCUAGGAAGACAUUGGCAUAAUAGGUGGACUAUAAAAAUAGAGCUAGAUCUCCUCAUGUCAUUAAACAUUUUCACAUGUUUUUAAUGGUUGCUCACAAUUUCCUUUGAGGGUUAAAAUAAAUUACAGUUUUAUAAUAUUUUAAACGAA